AUACUCCUACGGGGCGCAGCAGUGAGGAAUAUUGGUCAAUGGUCGGGAGACUGAACCAGCCAAGCCGCGUGAGGGAUGAAGGUACAGAGUAUCGUACACCUCUUUUGUCAGGGAACAAAGGCGGGGACGUGUCCCCGGAUGAGUGUACCUGAAGAAAAAGCAUCGGCUAACUCCGUGCCAGCAGCCGCGGUAAUACGGAGGAUGCGAGCGUUAUCCGGAUUUUUUGGGUUUAAAGGGGGCGCAGGCGGUCUGUUAAGUCCGCGGUCAAAGCCCGGGGC
rnacentral:rRNA from 1 species